AAAACAUCAUAAAUGUUCACUUAUAUAAAUCUAGCAAUAUGGGCUAGAUGUCUCUACCUAACUACCGUAAAUAGUUGUAGGCUAUAAGUGCAAUAAGCUUAUUA
rnacentral:ncRNA from 2 species